rnacentral:rRNA from 1 species
UUGAAAGAGAAGGGGAGAGAUGAUAUGUGCCUUCGGGAACCGUGAGACAGGUGCUGCAUGGCUGUCGUCAGCUCGUGUUGUGAAAUGUUGGGUUAAGUCCCGCAACGAGCGCAACCCUUAUCCUUUGUUGCCAGCGGUCCGGCCGGGAACUCAAAGGAGACUGCCAGUGAUAAACUGGAGGAAGGUGGGGAUGACGUCAAGUCAUCAUGGCCCUUACGACCAGGGCUACACACGUGCUACAAUGGCGCAUACAAAGAGAAGCGACCUCGCGAGAGCAAGCGGACCUCAUAAAGUGCGUCGUAGUCCGGAUUGGAGUCUGCAACUCGACUCCAUGAAGUCGGAAUCGCUAGUAAUCGUGGAUCAGAAUGCCACGGUGAAUACGUUCCCGGGUCUUGUACACACCGA